ACUUCUUUGUUUCCUGGAGCUACAAUCAAAGUGUAGUGUCUGUUUUUAUCAGUUUAAUCUCUGAUAGGUCCUUGAUGUGAGAACUGUAUAUAAACUUGGUUUUUCAAAAAGAAGCUGGGUCAGAGAAGAAACUUGCUUUGUCUGCCCUAUGCAUUGACCUGGUAUUGCUGUGUCUCUAGGAACAGUGUAUCUUCU
rnacentral:snRNA from 1 species